rnacentral:rRNA from 1 species
UACUUUGGUGGCGACCGGCGCACGGGUGCGUAACGCGUAUGCAACCUACCUUUAACAGGGGCAUAACACUGAGAAAUUGGUACUAAUUCCCCAUAACAUUCGAGAAGGCAUCUUCUUGGGUUAAAAACUCCGGUGGUUAAAGAUGGGCAUGCGUUGUAUUAGCUAGUUGGUGAGGUAACGGCCCACCUAGUCUUCGAUGGAUAGGGGUUCUGAGAGGAAGGUCCCCCACAUUGGAACUGAGACACGGUCCAA